UACGGGGGGGGGCAAGCGUUGUUCGGAAUUACUGGGCGUAAAGGGCUCGUAGGCGGCCAACUAAGUCGGAUGUGAAAUCCCCAGGCUUAACCUGGGAACUGCAUCCGAUACUGGAUGGCUUGAAUCCGGGAGAGGGAUGCGGAAUUCCAGGUGUAGCGGUGAAAUGCGUAGAUAUCUGGAGGAAUACCGGUGGCGAAGGCGGCAUCCUGGACCAUAACUGACGCUGAGGCGCGAAAGCUAGGGGAGCAAACGGG
rnacentral:rRNA from 1 species